UUACGCGUGCUUGACUUGAGGACUAAGCUGGUGAGUGCGUGAAGAAAGCGUUACGAAAAGUGUGAUCGGGUGAGGCGAACGGAGCAAGAGAGAGAAUAUAAUUUAAUAAAUAUUGAAACU